GAUGAACGCUGGCGGCGUGCCUUAAGCAUGCAAGUCGAACGGCAGCACGGACUCCGGUCUGGUGGCGAGUGGCGAACGGGUGAGUAACAUAUCGGAACAUACCCUAGAGUGGGGGAUAACGUAGCGAAAGUUACGCUAACACCGCAUACGAUCUAAGGAUGAAAGUGGGGGAUCUUCGGACCUCAUGCUCAUGGAGUGGCCGAUAUCUGAUUAGCUAGUUGGUGAGGUAAAGGCUCACCAAGGCGACGAUCAGUAGCUGGUUUGAGAGAACGACCAGCCACACUGGAACUGAGACACGGUCCAGACUCCUACGGGAGGCAGCAGUGGGGAAUAUUGGACAAUGGGCGAAAGCCUGAUCCAGCCAUGCCGCGUGUGUGAAGAAGGUCUUCGGAUUGUAAAGCACUUUAAGCUGGGAGGAAGGGUUGUAAGCUAAUAUCUUGCAGCUUUGACGUUACCAACAGAGUAAGCACCGGCUAACUCUGUGCCAGCCGCCGCAGUAA
rnacentral:rRNA from 1 species